rnacentral:rRNA from 1 species
GUGGAUUAGAUACCCUGGUAGUCCACGCCGUAAACGAUGCUAACUCGUUUUUGGGUUUUCGGAUUCAGAGACUAAGCGAAAGUGAUAAGUUAGCCACCUGGGGAGUACGUUCGCAAGAAUGAAACUCAAAGGAAUUGACGGGGGCCCGCACAAGCGGUGGAUUAUGUGGUUUAAUUCGAUGAUACGCGAGGAACCUUACCAAGACUUAAAUGGGAAAUGACAGAUUUAGAAAUAGAUCCUUCUUCGGACAUUUUUCAAGGUGCUGCAUGGUCGUCGUCAGCU